rnacentral:rRNA from 1 species
GGAGUUAGCCGGUGCUUCUUCUGUGAGUGAUGUCCUUCCUGCCGGCUAUUAACCCGCAGGCCUUCUUCCUCACUGAAAGUGCUUUACAACCCGAAGGCCUUCUUCACACACGCGGCAUGGCUGGAUCAGGGUUGCCCCCAUUGUCCAAUAUUCCCCACUGCUGCCUCCCGUAGGAGUCUGGGCCGUGUCUCAGUCCCAGUGUGGCUGAUCAUCCUCUCAGACCAGCUACGGAUCGUCGCCUUGGUGAGCCGUUACCUCACCAACCAGCUAAUCCGACAUAGGCUCAUCCGAUAGCGCGAGGCCCGAAGGUCCCCCGCUUUCCCCCGUAGGGCGUAUGCGGUAUUAGCCUGGGUUUCCCCCAGGUUAUCCCCCACUACCGGGCAGAUUCCUAUGCAUUACUCACCCGUCCGCCGCUCGCCACCAGGGAGCAAGCUCCCCGUGCUGCCGCUCGACUUGCAUGUGUUAGGCGUCGCCGCCACGCGUCAUCUGAGCCAUGAUACAACUACUGA